GACGAACGCUGGCGGCGUGCUUAACACAUGCAAGUCGAACGGAAAGGCCCUUCGGGGUACUCGAGUGGCGAACGGGUGAGUAACACGUGGGUGAUCUGCCCUGCACUUUGGGAUAAGCCUGGGAAACUGGGUCUAAUACCGGAUAGGACCACGGCAUUCAUGUGCUGUGGUGGAAAGCUUUUGCGGUGUGGGAUGGGCCCGCGGCCUAUCAGCUUGUUGGUGGGGUAAUGGCCUACCAAGGCGACGACGGGUAGCCGGCCUGAGAGGGUGACCGGCCACACUGGGACUGAGAUACGGCCCAGACUCCUACGGGAGGCAGCAGUGGGGAGUAUUGCACAAUGGGCGCAAGCCUGAUGCAGCGACGCCGCGUGAGGGAUGGCGGCCUUCGGGUUGUAAACCUCUUUCGCCAGGGACGAAGCGCAAGUGACGGUACCUGGAGAAGAAGGACCGGCCAACUACGU
rnacentral:rRNA from 1 species